rnacentral:rRNA from 1 species
GACGAACGCUGGCGGCGUGCCUAAUACAUGCAAGUCGAACGCUUCUUUCCUCCCGAGUGCUUGCACUCAAUUGGAAAGAGGAGUGGCGGACGGGGGAGUAACACGUGGGUAACCUACCCAUCAGAGGGGGAUAACACUUGGAAACAGGUGCUAAUACCGCAUAACAGUUUAUGCCGCAUGGCAUAAGAGUGAAAGGCGCUUUCGGGUGUCGCUGAUGGAGGGACCCGCGGUGCAUUAGCUAGUUGGUGAGGUAACGGCUAACCAAGGCAACGAUGCAUCGCCGACCUGAGAGGGUGAUCGGCCACACUGGGACUGAGACACGGCCCAGACUCCUACGGGAGGCAGCAGUAGGGAAUCUUCGGCAAUGGACGGAAGUCUGACCGAGCAACGCCGCGUGAGUGAAGAAGGUUUUCGGAUCGUAAAACUCUGUUGUUAGAGAAGAACAAGGACGUUAGUAACUGAACGUCCCCUGACGGUAUCUAACCAGAAAGCCACGGCUAACUACGUGCCAGCCGCCGCGGUAA